rnacentral:snRNA from 1 species
GUGCUUGCUUCGGCAGCACAUAUAUUAAAAGUGGAACGAUACAGAGAAGAUUAGCAUGGCCCCUGCGCAAGGAUGAUACACAUA